UACGUAGGGGGCAAGCGUUGUCCGGAAUUAUUGGGCGUAAAGAGCGCGUAGGCGGUCCGAUAAGUCGGCUGUGAAAGUCAGGGGCUCAACCCUUGGAAGCCGGCCGAUACUGUCGGACUAGAGUCCGGAAGAGGCGAGUGGAAUUCCCGGUGUAGCGGUGAAAUGCGCAGAUAUCGGGAGGAACACCAAUGGUGAAGGCAGCUCGCUGGGACGGUACUGACGCUGAGGCGCGAAAGCGUGGGGAGCAAACAGG
rnacentral:rRNA from 1 species